UAUCACAAAUUACCCCUGACUGGGUGGCUUAAACAAUAGGAGUUUGUUUUCACACAGGUCUGGAAGCCAGAAGUCCAAGGUCAAGGUGGCAGAAGGAUUGGUAUCUUGUGAGAACUCCCUUCUUGGCUGCUAAGUCGCCUUCCUCUCCGUGUCUGCAUAUGGUCUUCUCUCUGUGUCUGUGACCUGUGAAAUAUGGACAGUUAUGCCACCUGAGGGGAAGCCCAAAGAUUCACUGAGAUGGCGUGAAAGAGCCUGGCAUGGUUCCUGUUGUAGUUCUCCUAGCUGGACUCUGGGCUCAAGAAUGUGCAGCAACCUCUCUGGGGUCCCUAAGGACAUGCCAUCCAGAGAUGAGACAGAUACAUUUACUUCUGGGAAGGUUCCCACAAGAACAGCCGAGGUGGCUUCACAGCAGCUCUUUCCCUAGCUGAUCUCCAUGCUGGGAGCCUCCACCUUUCAACUUGCCCUAAGACGAAGAGGAGUGGAGGUUUGGCGAAGAUGUCAGAGUGGCUUCAAACUGAAAUAGGAAUGCUCUAGCCUUGGAUUGGGGCCCAGGCCACUGCCACUUGCACUGGUUGUCAGAUUCCAGGGGUCAGCAGUUUCCCAGGCUGGGGUGAUGAGCUGUUCCUUUGUCAAGUCUGAAGCAAUUGCUGAGAGCAGUUGAGGAGAGUCUGGGAGAAGGAGAGAGUGCCAGGUCAGAUGGGAGAGCUGCCCUCUCCUUGCUGUAAUACACAGUGUGUGGAGGACAUAAUUGAAGAGGGGGAAGGACUUUCUUAAACUCCAGGAGUGUCGCAGAGCCUCUGGAUCCAGUGCUGGCCAAGGCCACCCCCACAUCUCUCCAUGGCUCACCUGGUUCCCUUGUGUUUGUGGGCUCUAGUGGCAGGAGAUGAAGGCAGCCAUGCAAAAGACAGCUGACAUCACACUUACCAUUGUCCCUGCAUGAGAGCAAAUAGGUCUGUCAAUGGCCAGAGUCUGUCCUGUCUCCCUGUUUUGCCUUUCCCAUUGCUGGUUCCCUUCUCUCCAGAAGGUGCCAAAAGGGGAAGAGCGACAGAGAAGUGAGUCUGCUUUGCAUAGCAAGGACAGCUAGGUAACAGUUUUUUGGCUACUGUGCCCUCAGAAGUACCUCUUCCUUCCCAGUAUAAAAGGAAAUCAACAGGUUCAACAGGUUAUAGAAGCAUUGCUCAAUCCUUAGCCUAAGUGCUUGAGGAUUCACUGAGGGGCUAGGGAAGGUCCAGUUGGACUGGACCUGGGCUUUCCAGCCUCCUCCACAUUAUCUGUGGAGACACUAAGCCUCCUCUGCUCCUGGCCCCCAGCCAAGCCUGGCCACAUGCCUGGAACCCCUGCCCACAAGCUGAGAGGCCCUGUGGUUGGUUUAGCAGCCUCAUCUUCCUGGAGCCCAGGCUGGCUUUCACCACCAUUUUUUAGUUUCUACUCCCAGUGCUUCCCAAGCUUGGGUUCUCACUGCCUAAGUCUCAUUUCCUUGGCUUGGUCGGUGGUCAGGAUGUUCUUGAGGUUGGGGCGGUCACUAGAUGCCACACACUGGACUCUCACUUCCUGGGUGGGAGGGGUCUUCUCCGUCUCAUCAGCCCCUCAGGUGGUCAGCCUCAGUAGUGACCCAUCGCGUCAGCUGGGGACACGUCGGAGCUGGCCACACUGUCUAUUAACCACUGGGAUUUGUAUCUCUUGGCCUCCUGCCCUCCAUUCCCACCCAGUGGCAAGUCAAUCCCUGCAGACCACCACCUUGUGACUGUGCAGUCUGGCUUACUUCCUGGCUGAGCCCUGAGGGAGGGUCAGCGUGGGGAAGCUAACGUGUCAGUGGACUUCAGGCUGCCCAUGACCUCUCCUAGAGCCAUGUUCAACUCUCCUGCUCUCUUCUUCGACCGUCUCCCUGGGAGUGUGUCUUCCUGUCUCACUGGCUCUAGGCCUAGGAUUUUUACUUCUAGUCACCCAGAAUGUCUUACCAGUCUCUCGGCCAGUGCCUUUGUCCUCAGUCACCCAAUUCUGAUUGUUUUCCUGUUACAAAUGUUUCAUGGCUCUCUCUGGCCUACCACAUUCAUAGGUCUACAGUGUGACCUCCACCCCAUUUCCUAACAUCUCCUACACCCGCCUCCCAGUCAGGAAUCACUGUUUGUUCCAUUCCCGGAAGCUGUGUUUCUUCUUGGACAUGUACUUUCUUUGCUGAGCACUGUGGCUCACGCCACUCUCUCUGGCCCGUAUGCCCUUCUCCAGGUUUCUUGGGUAGUUCAGAAAAUCUUGCCAAACUUCACACACACAUGUACGAAUUCACCCUUUGUGUUACUCCCAGCCCACUCCUGCCGCAGACUUAUGCAAGUCCCAGCUCUGUUUCAUUGCCCCACACCUCAAUGAUGCAAACCAGAACCAAAACCCACCUCAAGAAAGUCUCGGACUGCACUUUUGAAUCAGUUGGAAAUUUGAACAAAACUUUUUUUUCACGUCUUAUCUGAUCCUUUCACUUUCUAUUUAGAGAGACUCGUUGACCUUUCUUAUAGCCAUGAUGCUGCUUGCCAGGCUUGCAAUACAUUUACAUCUAUAAAUUCAAACUACACUGCUUAUCUUUAUUCCAUGACACAGUCAUCUUCUGUUUUCUUAAUGUUCUGGCCAAAAUUGAAUGUUUUCUUUGGAACUCCUUUAGCAUCGUCUGUUUUCGCGAAGCACUGUCUCAUUUUCUUUUACUCAUUAAUUUAACAAAUGUCACUGAGC